rnacentral:rRNA from 1 species
CCUACGGGAGGCAGCAGUAGGGAAUCUUUCACAAUGGGCGAAAGCCUGAUGGAGCAACGCCGCGUGCAGGAUGAAGGCCUUCGGGUUGUAAACUGCUUUUAUAAGCGAGAAAUAUGAUGGUAACUUAUGAAUAAGGAUCGGCUAACUACGUGCCAGCAGCCGCGGUCAUACGUAGGAUCCGAGCAUUAUCCGGAGUGACUGGGUGUAAAGAGUUGCGUAGGUGGCAUAAUAAGUAGCUAGUGAAAUCUGGUGGCUCAACCAUUCAGACUAUUAGCUAAACUGUUAAGCUCGAGACCGUUAGGGGUAACUGGAAUUUCUAGUGUAGGAGUGAAAUCCGUAGAUAUUAGAAGGAACACCAAUAGCGUAGGCAGGUUGCUGGGACGGUUCUGACACUAAGGCACUAAAGCGUAGGGAGCAAACGGGAUUAGAUACCCCUGUAGUC